CACUUCUGUGUGCACAGAGCCAAACCAACCAAAAAUAAAACCUGUGGUAGGCGAUUUUUGCACACUAAACUACCUGAUAACGCGCUCAGGCGACGUAGACCGUGUCGUCACGUCUUCAAACCCAGAGGCGCCGUCCAAAUGGCUCGACAAGGCGACCCUGGUACAAGUGGGCGUGGGCGGCCUCUGGAAAUGCAUAGAUGAAAUGGUCCUCGACAUGAACCCAGGAGAAGAACGGCACGAAAGAUUAACAACAAUCGUGAACGAAAACAUGGAAACCGAAGUGCGGCUACGCCUGAAAGCAAUAGUUAGCCAGUUUCUUGAUUGCGAACGCGUCUCGCAUUUACAGGACCGCCUACUCAACUCACGCAGCAUAUCCAUAAAAGCUGACCACAUCCCAGACUCAAAAAAGGCCAUCGAAUUGUAUCAAGAGGCACUCCGACCCUUAGAAACGGCACUCAACCUGAAGGAGCCCGAGAACUGCGCUGUCUGCAUCGAAAUGUGCGACUUAUACCUCAAAAUUGCCGAUGUUCAUGCCAAAAUCCAGGAACACGAUCUCUGCAUUCAAUACGCACACAAAGUACUCGAGAAAAUUGAAAAAACACAAGUCCCAUUCGAACGACUGGCAGAGCAAGUGCACAUUCUCCUAGGCAAAGCCUACGAAUCCGUGAAAGAUUAUACGCAAUCUAGACACCAUUAUAUCGAAGCUUCAAAAUGGGCCCCCCGAGGCAGCAUGAAAGAGGCCAUAGAAAGAGUCACCAGAGCCGCCGGGCCGCAUUCUAAUAGAACGCCGCCAAUGUGAAACCACGCGUAGGAAGGACGUACGGUAUGCAAUUCCUUGUCUCUGCGUGUGCAUCUAGCUCAGAGCCCUCCGUUAUAAGACGUUGUUCAUCGACGCAUGGCACACAUCAAACCGCACAAAAAACAACAAGUCGCUAUCAUAUACACAUAUAUAUUUACACGCGCACACAUGUGCUAAUCCCUUAUCUCGCCAAGCGAGACCUUGA